rnacentral:rRNA from 1 species
UGGGGAAUUUUGCACAAUGGGGGAAACCCUGAUGCAGCGACGCCGCGUGAUUUAGAAGGCCUUCGGGUUGUAAAAAUCUUUUUUACGGGAUGAAAAUGACAGUACCGUAAGAAUAAGGUCCGGCUAAAUACGUGCCAGCAGCCGCGGUAAUACGUAUGGACCGAGCGUUGUCCGGAAUCAUUGGGCGUAAAGGGUACGUAGGCGGCCUAGUAAGUUAGAAGUGAAAUAAUAUAGCUCAACUAUAUAAAGCUUUUAAAACUGCUAGGCUUGAGAGAUGGCAGGGAAAGUGGAAUUCCUAGUGUAGCGGUGAAAUGCGCAGAUAUUAGGAAGAAUACCGGUGGCGAAGGCGACUUUCUGGUCAUCAUCUGACGCUGAGGUACGAAAGCGUGGGUAGCAAACAGG